rnacentral:rRNA from 1 species
GGCAGAGGCCACUGCUAUCAGAGUUCGAUUAAGCCAUGCGAGUCGAGAGGUGCAAGACCUCGGCAUACUGCUCAGUAACACGUGGACAACCUACCCUGUGGAGGGGGAUAACCCCGGGAAACUGGGGAUAAUACCCCAUAGACUAUGGAUGCUGGAAUGCUCUGUAGCCGAAAGGUCCGCCGCCACAGGAUGGGUCUGCGGCCGAUUAGGUUGUUGUUGGGGUAACGGCCCAACAAGCCUGUAAUCGGUACGGGUUGUGGGAGCAAGAGCCCGGAGAUGGAUUCUGAGACACGAAUCCAGGCCCUACGGGGCGCAGAGGGCGCGAAAACUUUGCAAUGCGGGAAACCGUGACAAGGGAACUCUGAGUGCCCGUAAAAUCGGGCUGUCCAUCGGUGUAAAAAACCGGUGAAGAAAGGGSCGGGCAAGACCGGUGCCAGCCGCCGCGGUAAUACCGGCGGCUCGAGUGGUGGCCACUAUUACUGGGCUUAAAGCGUUCGUAGCUGGUUUGUUAAGUCUCUGGGGAAAUCUUCCGGCUUAACCGGAAGGCGUCUCAGGGAUACUGGCAGACUAGGGACCGGGAGAGGUGAGAGGUACUCCAGGGGUAGGAGUGAAAUCCUGUAAUCCUUGGGGGACCACCUGUGGGGAAGGCGUCUCACCAGAACGGCUCCGACAGUGAGGGACGAAAGCUGGGGGAGCAAACCGGAUUAGAUACCCGGGUAGUCCCAGCUGUAAACGAUGCGCGUUAGGUGUAUCGUGACCACGAGUCACCGAGGUGCCGAAGAGAAAUCGUGAAACGUGCCGCCUGGGAAGUACGGUCGCAAGGCUGAAACUUAAAGGAAUUGGCGGGGGAGCACCACAACGGGUGGAGCUGCGGUUUAAUCGGACUCAACGCCGGGAAACUCACCAGAUAAGACAGCUGAAUGAUAGUCGGGCUGAAGACUCUACUUGACUAGCUGAGAGGAGGUGCAUGGCCGUCGUCAGUUCGUACUGUGAAGCAUCCUGUUAA